UAAAUGACUGUCUCCUAUCAGAAACUCCAUCAUUGCAAUUACAUAUUGUUCCAUUUACAUAUCUCAAAAAUGUCAAAUUUAUACUUACGGAAAAAAGCAGUGUGAGAAGCUACCUCGGAGAAUCUGAAAGUACCACACAGCGUGCAAGUGGAGUCUGAUCCCAUUCCUGCCUGAUGACCUAGGUCAUCUAAGAAUAUAUGGCUUGAUCGUCAGACAAAACCCUUAGUCAAGAUGAAUAGCUAAUCCAGAAGGACCACACUCAUGAAGAUGCUCAAACCUUACGUCUCACUUCUGCUUUUCCUGCUGUGGCAUUCAAAAGGAACUGCACCUAUAAAUAUACCUUGGCAUUUUACAUAAAGCAUCUUUCUACAGAAACUAAAAAGCCAUUCAAGUAAGUAUAAUU
rnacentral:lncRNA from 1 species